rnacentral:rRNA from 1 species
CCCGCUGAACUUAAGCAUAUCAAUAAGCGGAGGAAAAGAAACUAACAAGGAUUCCCCUAGUAACUGCGAGUGAAGCGGGAAAAGCUCAAAUUUAAAAUCUGGCAGUCUUUGGCUGUCCGAGUUGUAGUCUGGAGAAGCGUUUUCCGCGCUGGACCGUGUAUAAGUCCCUUGGAAUAGGGCGUCAUAGAGGGUGAGAAUCCCGUCUUUGACACGGACUACCAGUGCUUUGUGAUGCGCUCUCAAAGAGUCGAGUUGUUUGGGAAUGCAGCUCAAAAUGGGUGGUAAAUUCCAUCUAAAGCUAAAUAUUGGCGAGAGACCGAUAGCGAACAAGUACCGUGAGGGAAAGAUGAAAAGCACUUUGGAAAGAGAGUUAAACAGUACGUGAAAUUGCUGAAAGGGAAACGCUUGAAGUCAGUCGCGUUAUGCAGAACUCAGCCUGGCUUUUGCUUGGUGUAUUUUCUGUAUGACGGGCCAGCAUCAAUUUUGGCCGCUGGAAAAAGGCUCUAGAAAUGUGGCACCUCCGGGUGUGUUAUAGUCUAGGGUCAUAUACAGCGGCUGGGAUUGAGGUCUGCAGCACGCCUUUAUGGCUGGGGUUCGCCCACAUUCGUGCUUAGGAUGCUGGCGUAAUGGCUUUAAACGACCCGUCUUGAAACACGG